rnacentral:rRNA from 1 species
UACGUAGGGGGCGAGCGUUGUCCGGAAUUAUUGGGCGUAAAGAGCGUGUAGGCGGUUCGGUAAGUCUGCCGUGAAGACCUGAGGCUCAACCUCGGGCGUGCGGUGGAUACUGCCGGGCUAGAGGACGGUAGAGGCGAGUGGAAUUCCCGGUGUAGCGGUGAAAUGCGCAGAUAUCAGGAGGAACACCAAUUGCGAAGGCAGCUCGCUGGGACGUUACUGACGCUGAGACGCGAAAGCGUGGGGAGCAAACAGG